rnacentral:rRNA from 1 species
AGAGCGAACGCUGGCGGCAGGCUUAACACAUGCAAGUCGAGCGGGCGUAGCAAUACGUCAGCGGCAGACGGGUGAGUAACGCGUGGGAACAUACCUUUUGGUUCGGAACAACACAGGGAAACUUGUGCUAAUACCGGAUAAGCCCUUACGGGGAAAGAUUUAUCGCCGAAAGAUUGGCCCGCGUCUGAUUAGCUAGUUGGUGAGGUAACGGCUCACCAAGGCGACGAUCAGUAGCUGGUCUGAGAGGAUGAUCAGCCACAUUGGGACUGAGACACGGCCCAAACUCCUACGGGAGGCAGCAGUGGGGAAUAUUGGACAAUGGGCGCAAGCCUGAUCCAGCCAUGCCGCGUGAGUGAUGAAGGCCCUAGGGUUGUAAAGCUCUUUUGUGCGGGAAGAUAAUGACGGUACCGCAAGAAUAAGCCCCGGCUAACUUCGUGCCAGCAGCCGAC